UAGCAGAACUCAGAAACGAGUUCUUCGACUUAGAGAAAUUGAGACUGCUCCUCCCUGGCGGCGGCCGCCGGUCGCCUCCUCCUCCUCCUACCGCCCCGCCUUCACCUCCCUCUCCAGCCGCCUCCUCCUCCUGCCACCCCGCCUUCUCCUCCCUCUCCACCCGUUUCAUGGAGCCGUCGCCUCCUCCCUUCUCUUCCGCCGCCUUCGAGCCGCCGCUGCUCCAAGAAGAUGAGCAGCCGCAGCCUCGCCCUCCUUCCAUCGCAGCUUCCCUCCGUCCAAUCCCGUCCUAAGGGUGCCGCCUCGUCGAGCUGCCGCUGCCAUCCAUGGAUGCUGUCGAGGAGGAGAAGAUUGUGGAGCAGCAGGUGGCUCCCGUCGACGAACACCAAACCACACCAGAGGGAUGUGUUCACCUCCCCCAAAAAUCCAAAAAAAACGUUACGUUUCCUUCUCUCCUUCAAUUCAUUUUUCAGUUUGGUGUUUUUCAACUUAAGUAGCCAUGGUGCAGAUCGAGGAAAGAAGAGAAAGCCAAGAAUCUGGAAGAGAAGAGGAGGAAGUUGGAAGAUAAGAGAAGACAUAACAAGGAGAAGGAAAAAAAGUUGUAGCAAAAGAAGAACAAGGAUGGUACUUCUCCUUCAGCUAUGCAUUGCAACAAGAAAGUUAGAUCCCCAAUAUGUAGGUCUCCAAAUGAUGUGCCAACAACAACUCUUGCUGCCAAACCACGCAAAUUGAGGUCUAAAGCUUGGGUCUAUUUUGAUCCUAUCUAUGAGAGAUGAUGCAUUUACACAUUCAAGACUAGAACGGGACUCAUGACGGCUGCCUCACAAUUCACCACUUCAAAAUUGUCGCAACCUCGGACAUGAUUCGCUGACAUAGAGAACUGGACACCUGGUUUUGCAUUGACAUUUAGGUUCAGAAAAACUCAACAACUCUUGUGUUCUGUCAGCUAAAUUUGAUCAAUAUGUGUUGGCAUCUGAGGUUCUAAAUUUUCUGGGCAGCUAUUGUGUUGAUCAGCAACUCUUGUUAAUUAUUGUUAAUUACUGUUGUCUGAAAACCGAGAUUGUUAAAAUACUACAGCUGGAACUUCCUGUCAGCAACUUUGUCU